rnacentral:rRNA from 1 species
CUGGCAGGGCUAGAGUCUUGAAAGGGGGUAGAAUUCCCAGGUGUAGCGGUUAAAAUACGUAAAAUCUGAAGGAAUACCGGGUGGCGAAGCCGGGCCCCUUGGACAAAGACUGACGNUCAGGUGNAAAAGCGUGGGGAGCAAACAGGAUUAGAUACCNUGGUAGUCCACGCCGUAAACGAUGUCGAUUUGGAGGUUGUGCCCNUGAGGCGUGGCUUCCGGAGCUAACGCGUUAAAUCGACCGCCUGGGGAGUACGACCGCAAGGUUAAAACUCAAAUGAAUUGACGGGGGCCCGCACAANCGGUGGAGCAUGUGGUUUAAUUCGAUGCAACGCGAAGAACCUUACNUGGUCUUGACAUCCACAGANCUUUCCAGANAUGGAUUGGUGCCUUCGGGAACUGUGAGACAGGUGCUGCAUGGCUGUCGUCAGCUCGUGUUGUGAAAUGUUGGGUUAAGUCCCGCAACGAGCGCAACCCUUAUCCUUUGUUGCCANCGGUNCGGCCGGGAACUCAAAGGAGACUGCCAGUGAUAAACUGGAGGAAGGUGGGGAUGACGUCAAGUCAUCAUGGCCCUUACGACCAGGGCUACACACGUGCUACAAUGGCAUAUACAAAGAGAAGCGACCUCGCGAGAGCAAGCGGNCCUCAUAAAGUAUGUCGUAGUCCGGAUUGGAGUCUGCAANUCGACUCCAUGAAGUCGNAAUNGCUAGUUUUCGUUGGUCC